CGAAGUAAAACAAAUGACCGCCGCCCAUGUCAUAAAGACAGGGGGGAGGAAAGUCCGGGCUCCACAGGACAAAGCGCUGGGUAACGCCCAGUCCCGGUGACGGGAAGGACAGUGCAACAGAAAGGAAACCGCCUCUUAUGAGGGCACUCAGGUGUUCUAAAGAGGUAAGGGUGAAAGGGUGAGGUAAGAGCUCACCAGUUCCGCCGGUGACGGCGGAGGCUUUGUAAACCCCGCAUGGAGCAAGACCAAAUAGGGGGACGUUAAGGGUGGUCCGCUCAUGUUCCCGGGUAGGUCGCUUGAUCUCGUCGGUAACGGCGAGACUAGAUGAAUGGUCAUUGUUCCGAAAGCGGGUGACCCUUUCGGAAAACAAAACCCGGCUUAUGGAUUGCUUCGACAU
rnacentral:RNase_P_RNA from 2 species